GGAGGAGGAGGAGGAGGAGGAGGAGGAAAAUUACCAGACAAAAGAAAGAGGAGGAGCUGGCAGGGUAUAAAAGGUGGAAGUCCUGAGCCAUGUAGCGUCACUCCUUCCAAAGUCUUCAAGGAACAGUAAGCAAAAUGCUGAGUCUCCGUGGUAUGAUGGUGCUGGUGGUGCUGAUGGCGGUGGUCGUCAGCGUCUGUGUGGCUGAGGCGCAUCAGUAUUACGGAGGCGGCGGAUACCGUGGAAGCUCAGAACGUGGCAGUUAUGAGAGUUACAGUAGUGGUGGUUAUGGUCACGGCAGCAGGCCUUACUAUGGAGGCGGCGGCGGCGGCAGAUACAGACCCAGACCCUACUACCACUGAUUUCCCGCUCUACGAUUCUCGCUCCCCAUGACGGCCAUUAGAAACACUGUGUCUUUGUCCUUUUGAUUAAAAACUUUGGCAUGUUUCA